CGAUGCGAUCAUACCAGCACUAAAGCACCGGAUCCCAUCAGAACUCCGAAGUUAAGCGUGCUUGGGCGAGAGUAGUACUGGGAUGGGUGACCUCCUGGGAAGUCCUCGUGUUGCAUUCC
rnacentral:rRNA from 1 species